ACGUUUAGAAAUCACCUAUGUGUGGGCGAAGUGGAAGCCGCUUCAAAGAGAAUGUUAGUAAAGGUCUAUUCUCUAAGCUCUCAUGAAAACCGGGACGUGUUCAUGGCUGAAAAGAACAAAAUCGUAAGAACCAUAAACUGUAAAAAGCUGGUUGUGUGACAUGUGUUGUCUAGGUGUACAUUAAAGCUCGACGGUUCAAAGAUAUCAAAUCUACCGAUUGACCGAGUGUAUCCGAUGUAUGUUCACUACGGCAAGUUCAAAGGAAACCUACCCACCUAUCCAGAUGCAAUCAGUCUUUGCUUGAUGAUCACAUGCUUGUCCGUAAAAGUUUUACGAAAAAUAGCCAUACUCCAUUCAUGUGGGGGAUUGUUGGGUUCAUAGUAAAUGAAUGAAGUGUGAAUGAAAAAAUGGAGAGAAAAAUGGUGGAGAAGAGGAGAUACCAAUUUGGAAAGAGUACUCCCAAAAUUAGAAAGUUCACUAAUUCUCCCACAUUGGUGGGAGAAGAGAACUUUAUAGUGUUUAUAUUAAUGAACACUAACUCCACAUGGAUAGUGAGGCAAGAACUAGGUGAUGCAUCGCGCCGUCAUCGUCGCUCGGCUCGAAUUCGGAUUUGGUCAAAUGAUCGAUCGAUGAGAUCUUUCUUUUUGGACAAAUUUUAUUUGACAGAAAUAAAAUCCGAAAAGUGUUUGAAACUCCAUUUAAAUAUAUAUACAGUAAUGCAGUAAUCAGUAGGAACGUGAACAGUAGCACUGUUACGUGAACAGUAGCACUAUUUUACGUGAACAGUUGCACUGCUUCAUGAAUUGCUGCAACGCUUCAUUGAACUGACACACUUAUUCACGAAAUGACAUGCCUGUUCAAGAACAGUCACACUGUUUGGCCGAAUGGACAUGAAUUUUCAGAAAAGGUAGUACCUUUUAGACGAACCUUUGUCUCUUUUCAGAAGAGGCAUCAUUUGGCUAUAAAAACCUGCUUUCAUUUAUAGGUUUUGGUACAUAAAUUUUCAGAUUAAAAAAACAUUCUUCUUGUCUUAAAAAUACUCUAAGUGUGAUCAUUCAAACUGUGAGUGUGUUCGAAGAAUCCGCCUAUUUGAGGUACCGCUAUAGUUGGAUUGAAGGCCAUUUUAUCCUGGGAGGAAGAUUCCAUAACCUCGAGUACAGUGAGGGGAAUUAUUCCUUUAAGGAAAGUCCGUGAAUUCGGACGACUUGGCCUUAGCUAUUUCUGUUUCAUCUUUAUUUUCUGAAAAAUAAAUAUACCUCUUGGAAAGGUCCUUUUGAUCUUGUGUUGAGGGUAUUUAAAACUUCAUUGUGUUCUUGUUCAUACUUGAACACGAGUUGAAGUUGUUGUUCUGUUAUACAGAUUCUACUUACCCGUAUUGUGGAAAAUAACAAUUUCUCCUGAUUUUGACAUCAAAGGAUUGGUAUAAGCUGCAUUAGCUCGCUGAUUCCCAUUCAUGUCAGGUGAUUUGAUUUUACCCUGGUGUUAACUAUCAGCAGGUAACAGCGAAGGUGGAGCAAAAAUGACUGGAAGUAUGCAACUAAUGCGUGAGUUCUGUGAUCUCUCAACCACUGCAUUGCAUAUGAGGUUAUUGUUUCGUAGUAUUUUCCCACUUUGGGUUUUAAGUGGGAAUAGUUAUCUUUAGCCAUCAUAUCAGUAUGAUUUACAAGUUGAAUGGCUUAAUCUAUCUGGAGGUGCGUCUGCGGAACUGAUAAUUUUCAGUUUAAUAUAUCCAAAGAGUAUUCUUCUGAAGGGAUUUACUUAUUUACUUAUGUUUCCUCGGAGAUUCUUCGUUUUAUGCUAAAUAUCAACAAUUAAGGUGCAGUGACUGAAGAGGUGCCGCUGACUGAAGGUGCUUUAUUCUAUGAUGUCACCUUUAUGUGAUUCUGUUCUCGAGCAGACCUUGAACCCGAGACUCCUGUACUCUUCUCGGAGUAGAUAGAUUUUUGGGAUUUUCAUUUUUCCCCAGUUAAAUUGAUGUCGAAUUUGAGCCGAUAAUUAAACUUCAAGAAUGGAUGCUCCUAUGAAGAAACCUCAGUCUAAUGGACAGAAAACCUUAAUCAGUGAUGACCUUUUUGGCUAAGAGGCUAAAAUCCAGGAGCGUCAACACAGAUAUAGAGAAAGUAAACAUCAUAAAGCUGAUAAAACGGAGGUGCUGGGCACAAACCAACUAGCUUCAUUACCGGUGGAGGUGCCUGUAAUUUUUGCUCCUCAGGAUAGUGCACAGCCAGUGAAUGUUGCUCCUCUGGACUCUUUGACUUCAGUAACUGUCACUUCACUGGAUGACUCAAUGCCAAUGAAUGUUGCUCACCUGGAUUCUUCGGUUCCAGUAAAAGUGGACUCUUCAAUCCAGUGAAUGUCGCUCCCCGAGCAUAUGUAAUGCAGCGGAUGUUGCUUCUAGAGAUUGUGUGAUGACAUUGUGUGCUGCUCAUCGGGAAUCUGUCACCUGUAUUUACUAUACGCGGAAUUGGAAAAGGGAUGCCCAAUAUGCCCAUGCAGUGAGACAGAAUGAAGUUAAUACUAAUGGUGCAGUUUCACCAAAGUUAUUUCAGCUGGUGGAAGUCAAGUACCAUCGUUAUCUCGAGUUGAAUAGCCGGAUGUAGCGUUGGGUAAUGUGCUUGCUUUACCUAUAACUGCAUGGAAAAAUAAAGGAACACCCAAAUCUAUUCCCAGCAGGAGAAAUUGGAACGCAGAAGGUAGAAAUAACAAGAGCUGAAAUCGUAUGGGAAUUUUAUUUUUUUUUGGUGGGUUUUGUUUGUAGCUAUUAGUUUUGUACGUCACAAUUAGAAUUAUAUCAUAGUUUUUUGGGUUUAAAUCUAAUUUUAACAUAAAA